GACUGAUUGAUGCCAGCCACAGCUGCAAGC
rnacentral:piRNA from 1 species